ACUGCCUUCCCCUUGCAAGGCCCCUGACCUUAUUUACGGUUAUUUAUGGUUUUCAACAGAGGUCGUCUUUCAGGCCAGACCCCCAGAAGAAACGGCUCAGGAAAGGCCUCCUUCACCGCUGGAGGAUUCCAAGGCCCCCUGUCCCAACGUCACCACCGAGUUCCUCCUUCCCUUGCCGGAGCUAAGAUUUCUCAGCCUCGCCAACAACCAGAUUGAAAACGAAGAAGACUUGCUGGCCGUGGCUCUCUUCCCCUCCCUGACGGAGCUCACCUUCUACGGCAACCCGUUCACCACAUCCCGAAGCGGUACCGCC